GCUUGAGCAUACUUUUCAUUUGACACCCUGGAUGUCUAUGCAGCUCCUACGGGUCGGCCACCAAAUGGCGAAAAACACUGUGUGUUUCAAAGCGACACUUCUCCUGCUCUGCAGGCGAGAGAGGGCAGGCAGCUAUACCUGGGAGAGGCAGCUCCCAGGUAUAGCUGCAAUAAUCCUGAUGGCGCCCGCUGAUACUCGGAGCACCAAAUCAGCUGAUUUUUGGAGGCAAAUGGCAAAAUCUCCUCCUGGCUAACUUCUCGUCGACACGCCACUUCAGUUCAGAUUAUUUCGGGACUGGAUACGACAAGCACUCUCAAGAAGAUGGCUUUCCUACACAGAACAUUUCUACAGCUGUUCCUUCAUAUGUGCCUCCUCAACUGGAGCGCAUGGGCCAAGGUGGAGGUGACCAUGCAUGAGACUGUUGAGGUGUACCUGGGUGACUCAGCUCAGAUCCCCUGCCAGUACAGAUUCACUGACGCCAACAACAAGCCCAGCUUUGUCAUGAUCCAGUGG